CAUUCCAUAUAGUGGAAAAUAUCCAUUUGUGGUACAAUACACUUUUGUGAACUCAGAUCGCUUUAGCUUCACAGUAGAAGUCUGAGAAGGCUGUGCUGAGAGUUCACGUUGCAUUUAAUUCCGGAUGGUUACAUAUCAGCUUCUGUGUUUCAGAUAAAGCCUUUAUAAAAAAAAGUUUCUAACUUUUAAAACUUUUUCAGUAGGGAGUUUAAAUCAGGCUUUUUAUUUCUCUAGACUAUAAAAGAACCUUUGUAAAAUAUUGCCUCCAACUGUUCUUUCUUAAUCUUUAACCUUUGAGGAGCAAAAGACUAACUUUCUGGAUAGUUUCCAGUGAACUGAAGAAUGACUUUCCAUUAUUAAAAGUAGAAAAUUGUCCAAAAAAAUCAAGGCAAAGACAUAUGCAUCUUAUAAGUGAAUCCAGAUUCAGUAGUCACAAUUUGUUCAAACCCAAUAAUAUGUUUUGUUUAAUCCAACAAAUAAAACUUUCCUUUAUUGGAUUAUACCAAGUGACUCAUAUUGGAACAUAGCUUUACAAAGGGGUGUCAAGCCUGAAAAAGUACUGAAUCAAUGCUUUGUAAUCUGUUCCUGAAUGAACAGAGCUAUAUAAUGGUGAAAACCUUUCUAAAUACAAGACAGUUCUAGAAAAUGUGACCUAAAUAAUUGUGCAUUUCUCUGAAUAGGGGCACUGUUUCAGAGAUUUGGGAACUGGCAUUCUCCUGUACACAAGUCUUAAUACUCUGCACUUUCUACCUUAAGAACAAAAGUCCUGUACUCUGCUGUACAGAUAUGAGCAAAAGCUUACCAACUCAUAUAAGACACUUUUACAGGAUGGAGGCCUUAACUGAAAUUAGUAAGGCUACUCGCAUGCUUUAAGUGAAGAACAUCCUGGGUUGCAAGACCAGGGCCCAGUGCUUGAUAUGAAGAACAACAGCUGUACUGAAUACCCUUCAACUGGCAUAAAUUCAAUGGAUUCCGAAGAGUGCCAUUCUUUGUUGGAUGCUUAGUGACGUGCAGAUAAUGCUAGUCUUUCAUUAAGGUUAAGAACUUCCUUGUGGCAUAACAGUUCUAAGUUUUAGAGAACUCUGCUAAUUGUAUAUUCUUUAACAAGUGACAUCUUCAA